GAGUCUGCAACCCGACUCCACGAAGCUGGAUUCGCUAGUAAUCGCGCAUCAGCCACGGCGCGGUGAAUACGUUCCCGGGCCUUGUACACACCGCCCGUCAAGCCAUGGGAGCCGGGGGUACCUGAAGUGCGUAACCGCGAGGAUCGCCCUAGGGUAAAACUGGUGACUGGGGCUAAGUCGUAACAAGGUACC
rnacentral:rRNA from 1 species